CAAAUACUCCCUCCGCCCGGAAAUACUUGUCAUCAAAAUGGAUAAAAGGAAAUGUAUCUAGACAUAUUUUAGUUUUAGAUACAUCUCUUUUUAUCCAUUUUGAUCACAAGUAUUUUCGGACGGAGGGAGUAGAAA
rnacentral:pre_miRNA from 1 species